rnacentral:lncRNA from 10 species
CUGACAUGUGGGGCUUGGGACUAGUUGCUCACUGCUCCCCAUCCUCCCUGUUCCACCUUGGAGCUUGGCCCUAACACAGGGGUUGGCAGUGGGACGGAACUGGCUGGCUCUGUCAUCUGGACUCCAUAGCAUCAUUUCACUUCCGGCCGCAUCACCCUCCUUGUGGAAUAUGGCCUUGAGGUUGCACGUUGGUAAUCCCUCCUGCUUAAUGACAGUGUGCCAUGGGUAAAGCUCAUUUCUCCUUUCCUGCAGCAAUAACACAACAAUUACUGCAAUGAUGUCACCACUAUCUCUUAUAGCCAUCAUUUCAUAAAGAUGGAGUCUUGCUUUGUCAUCCAGGCUGGAGUGUAAUGAUGGAAUCUCGGCUCACUGCAACCUCUGCCUCCCAGGUUCAAGCGAUUACCAGGCCUCAGCCUCCUGAGUAGCUGGGGUUACAGUUAAGAGAACUGGAGACACAAAAAAGCUAAGUGAAUUAUGCAAAGCCACCCAGCUAGAAGUGACUUUCUUCAGAGGAAGUUCUUGGAAUUCCUGUGCCACCAUAAGAGUUACUCACCUGCUGGAUUUUUAUGAGAAGAUGUGACUUGGUCCUUGCCUUCCGCCAUGAAUGUGACGCCUCCCAGCCCUGUGGAACUUUUACUCAUCUAUUAGUUGGAGGUAACAGCAUUGAUAUCACAGAAAAGAAUAAUCAAGUUACUUCAGCUCUGGUAUCAAGCAAACUGUGAGUAAACGUUUCUGUUUUUGCCCUAAGAAUUCAUCACAUGAAGAUGAUUAGUGACUAUAGAUCAAUCUUUGCACCAGUAACUAUAGAAGGAAGUUUAUUUUAUUUCUCCUAAGUCUGAUAAGGACAAAGUAAACCCAAUAAUACCUGCUAUAGGCUGGUAAGUUAUCUCUCAAAUAAUCUCAACCCAGAGUCAAGAUGUCACUAACAAAAAGAUCCAAACCAUGUAACCUGCACUGAAUAGAAUACAAAUGAACAGAGAUUUUAUAAGUAAACAUGUGGCAUUUACACAUCACUUUCCAAAUUAAUGUUGUUCCUGGAGACCACCUGAAUGAAAGUAGUAGAUCUCUUCUAUCACUAUUACACACUUUCAAACACUAACAAUAACAUUAAGAGUAUCUGUUAUAACUAUAGCUAAAUAAUUGGCCAUACUGAGUCUAAAUUUAAAUGCUAGAUUAAUUUGAUACGUAACCGAUUAAUUUAUAAUUCCUCAGAUGAUGUUUCGGCAUUUGCCACUCACAAGAUCAAUAUCUUCCCUCUUUUGAUCAGCCCAAUUUUGAACAUGGGUUUUCCUUAAAUAAAUCUUUAAAGAGAAAAACAAUGUAAGAAUACAUUCUGCUUUCCUGUCAAAAUACAAUCGACAGGGAAAUAAUUCCUUGCUGUAUUUUAAAAUUUCUCCCUACCCUUCCUUCUGCCUCAAAGAUUAAGAACAUUUGCUUUUCUUGUUUUCCUGAACCACUCUUUGAACAUCACCAGUCUCCCGGUAGGCUUCAGGAAGUUUGCUGAUCCUAUCAGCUCAGGAGCAGCUAAGUUCACAGGAAGGACAAUUCUGAAAGCUGGUGAAGACAUUGCCAUCAGACUCAUCUGCUUGUCAUGAAAUCGCAACAGCCACCCCAGCCUUCGGUAGCCACCACCCUGAUUAGUCAGCAGCCAUCAGCUGAUAUCAAGAAAUUGCCGCAGCCACCCCAGCCUUCAGUAGCCACCACCCUGAUUAGUCAGCAGCCAUCAGCUGAUAUCAAGAGCACAUUAAAUGUUAACACUGCGACUUGCAAGGACCCCCAGCUGGUGGAUCCCUGAGGACAAGGACAGAAGUUCACCAUGCACGGCCACUCUGCUUGUAAGUUUGUCUUCAUGGAGCCACAGCCUCAGUAUAUUAUGGCAAUUUAUUGAGCUCUGCCCGUUGUUACAGAUAAAUGUGUUGAUAGGGCAGAACCUUUCUCCUCACAUACCCUCCAGACAAGAAGGGACUAUGCUUGAUUUGGUUAUGUUUAUUUUAAGAACAUUUAUUGAGUCCUUGUAUGAGAUAACUACAGAUAGCUGAUUUUACAUACAUUUCAUUUAAUUCUCACAAUAACUCUGCAAAUUAGGGUUGUAGUUGUUAGAUAUGACAUAUAUGGGGUAUGAUAUACAGUAAAUCAUGAUUGAUAUGGUUUGGCUCUGUGUCCCCACCCACAUCUCAUCUCAAGGGAGGAACCUGUAAUCCCCACAGGUCGUGGGAGGGAGGUGAUUGGAUCAUGGGAGUGGUUUCCCCCAUACUGUUCUCAUGCUAGCAAGUGAGUUCUUAUGUGAGUGAAAAAUCUGAUGGUUUUGUAAGUGUUUGACAGUUUCUCCUUCACACACUCACACUCUCUCCUGCUGCCCUGUUAAGAAGGUGCCUGCUUCCCCUUCUGCCAUGAUUGUAAGUUUCCUGAGGCUUCCCCAGCCAUGUGGGACUGUGAGUCAAUUAAACCUCCUUUGUUUAUAAAUUACCCAGUCUCAGGUAGUAUCUUUAUGGCAGGUGAGAAUGAACUAAUACAAUAAUGAUGAUGGUGGUGGUGAUGAUUCCACAUUCACCCCAUGGACUCUGCAGUCCCCAUGCUGUGCACAGCUGUCUCCUUCUUAGGCACCACACUGUAAAGUGCAAGAUAAGCAUCUUUUUUGAUGCAAUAGUAAUAAAAACAUGAACAUUUUAAAGUAAAAAAUGAAUAAAUAUUAUUCCUAUUCCAUAGAGAAGAAAGCUGAACUGAACAAGGUUAAGUGACUUGGCCAAAGUCACAGGCAGUAACUACAACAACUGGAAUUUGAAUGCUUGUCUAAUGACUUCUGUCUAAUGGCUUUUAUAGUUGUGCAACAGGUGUGUGUUCCAGGCCUGUCAUGGAUGUUUUUCCAUAGCUAGUCACCUUCCCUGCAAAACAGAGGGUGGUCCUCAAGGAGAGCAGGAUGUCUUCUGGAGCAGAGUCUUCCAAAGAGCACAGGAGACCAGGGGCUCCUUGAGGGGAAGCAACUUUGCCUUAUUCUUAUUUGUGUCUUUCAGCAUCUGGCACAAUAAAUGCUUGUCUCUUGAUAUUUGUCAAGAUGGGUAAACAGACGCUCUUUAUUGUCAUAUCAUCUGUUUCCUUAAGUUUGGUAUCUGAGUGACAGUAAUAAUGACUAACAUUUAUGGAGCUCUUGCCAGUUGCUUUACUGGUGGUACCUGUUAUGGUCUGACUGUUUAUGUCCUCCCCCAAAUUCCCAUGUCAAUGCCCUAACUCCCAAUGCAAUGGUAUAAAGAGGCAGGGCCUCUGGGAGGUAAUAAGGUUUACAUGAUGCCCUCACGAUGAGAUUGGUGCCCUUAUAAAAUGAGACCAGAGCUCGCUCUCUCUCUCUCCUCUCUGUCCUGCCAUGUGAGGAUACAGCAGGAAGAUGGCCAUGUGCAAGCUAGGAAGAAGACAGAACUCACCAGGGACUGAAGUGGCCAGUACUUUGAUCUUGGACUUCAAGCCUCCAGAUCUGUGAGAAAUAAAUUUUUGUUGUUUAAGCAACCCAGUCUGUGGUGUUUUGUUGCAGCAGCCGAAGUGAACUAAGACAAUACCCUAUGAGCUAAUACCAUUUUAGCAGUGAAGAAACUGAGGCUCAGGGAGCUUAGCAACUUUCUCAAAGUUUCUGUGUGCUAAGCUGUUUCCCUGCCCCUUUCUGUCUGAGGGGAAAUUGAAAUAUAAAGCAACAACCUGUUGCAGAAAUAUUUGAGUAAACAAACUUCAGAAAGAGUGUUAGAACCCAAACUAGCUUUCAAGUAGAAAAAUCAAGGUAUUCCUGGGUGCUGUUAGUGUGAAAAUACAGGAAAUGUCAUUGGACCCAUAGGUGGGAAUUAUGGGCAGGUCUCAUAGAACAGGCACCUAGAAGGUAGUCGGUAAUCAAGAAAACAUUUCUUUCCACGAGGCUGCACGAUCCCCCUCAUCUCUGUGUGUCUCUCAUCCUUUAUCGGCCUGCUUCCCUCUUCACCUGAUUCCUCUGCUUGUUCUUUUGGGGUGCAGCCCUACAAGGAACACCAACCUACAUUCUGCUUGUCUCCACUGAUCUGCUCUGUCUUUGAGUAUUUCCAGUUCUAGAAAUUGGUAGAAAGCCAGCUCAUAUGAGUGAGACCGCAUGUACCACAGGCGGCUGGCCAGCUACUUCUCUGGUUCCUUGUCAAAACUGUUGCAUACAUGUAGCUCAAUCUAUGAUCAUCUCUGCACAAACAAACAAACAAACAAACAAACAAAACCCAGCCCUGCACCCUUUCUGUGAAUGGGAAGCAAUGUACAGAACAUAUUAAGCCAAGAGGUAGGUAAGGCAGAAAAUUGAAAGAUGAUAUCUGUUAUUGAUUUGGUAUGAGUUAAAGGUACAUGGUUCUGUUUUAGAUAUUUUAUAAUAAUAAAAAUGAAAAAAGAGAAAGGAAUUGCCCCACAAUUACGUUUUCAAAAUAUGUUUAUUUUUUCCCCUAAUUUUUCUUGAGGUUAUUUAGAUAUUUCUUGACAAAUCUUCAUGGUAACAUAUGUGAAAGCAGACAUGUUUAUUUUCUUUGAUUUGGUGGAAUGAAUUAUCAAAAUUCUGGUUUUUAACAUUGUUAAAACUUCUGAGUAAAAAAUUUCUAACAAAUGAAGUGUUAAUACCAAAAAAAGAGUGUUAGCUAUGAGUGGUAUGUAAAUAAGUUGUCAAAUAUCAUCAAUAAUAAUUCUGAUCACCAUUUUCUUGGGUUUAUUAUAAUAAGACAAAUGUUGCUCCCAAAGAAACUGCUGAUUCUGGGGCAGGGACAAGAGCUCACCAAGAAAUCCAGCUACCAAAAUAUUUUGCCUGGUCACCCGGCCACAGGGGCUGAUGGCCAAAUCACAGACUUGAAACCUAAUGGCUGUGAGUGCACAUCAACGUGUUCAUCUGUCUGGUAUUAUUAUGUAGUUUUUGGAAAGCCGUGAUCUCUACGUCAGAUUGUUUUUUGCAAAAUAAGAAAUAAUACUGGGGUCUUGCCUCAAAAAAAGCAGUGAAGAUCAGCUCAUAGAAAUGUUUGAAAUCUAGGUAGUACUGCAGAUUUGUGGACGCUAGAGAAUGACUGUAAGAAGUGAUCUUAGGCGGGAAAAGCCCACUGUUAGGUCUUGGCUCAUGCUCCGCGUUGCCAAUUCCCAGCCUUGCAAUUUUGGACAGGUUAUUUAAUCUGUAAGUGUGCUUCCAUUUCAUCACAUAUAAAACAGAAAUAUGAAAACCUGCCUUUGAGCAUUUUCAUGGGGAUUAAAUGAGAUAAGUUCUGUCUGGCACAUACCAAUGCACAAAUAAGCUUAGCAAAUGUUUUUGUUUUUUAACUAGAUGAAGAUAAGUCUCUCCAGUGGUAUAUUUUUCUUUAGGAAAAAAAUAUCAGUACAUGCUUUUAACAUAAACCUGAAUCUAACUUCUAUAUAAUAAUGGACAAGAUAAGACUCCAGAAAUAUUUUAGAAUUUUCUUAGAUGAGCUCUCAAUCUGUGUUAAAACAGGUAAAACCUUUUACUAUAGACUGAGAAGGAAGAGAAAGGAAAAAAAAUGGCCUAUUUAAACAAUGAGGAAUAUAUAUAUAUAUAUUUGUCAGUAUCUUAAAGAGGCUUUUCUUAUACAAACAGGAGUAUUUGCUGGUCAGUGCCCAGAUUUUUUUUUCUUUUGAUGUACAUUAAAAAAAUUAAAAGAAAUAUUCUUAGAAAGACAUCUGUGCCUGGGGUGACUCACAUUUGAUCAAUCCCUGUGAACUGAGCUUUUCAGGGGAUGUGCAAUUAUUUGCUCAGUUAGGCUUAAACUUUUUAUUUAUCUAAUCACCCCUCUGUAAUGCUUUGAUCUGAACUUCCAAGGCCUAUUUUUCAACCACUUUAGCUACAUAUUUUAAGUCUUAUAGUCUAAUCAACCCUAGCCCAUAAAACAUGCAAUGUCCUGUUUAAUGCCUCCUAUUAGGAAAUCAGCUGCCACAUGGAUUUUGUAAUCUCCCACUUUGUGACUGGGUGAGCUGUUUGGAAGUGUCAUUAAUGUCAUUAUUCCAGGAGAGCGAGAGAGAGCCAGCAGCCAAGUGCAUCCCCUGUAUCCCAGCUGGCUUCUCCUUGCUAACGUUUGCCGAGUGACUCAGAGGUGAAUCAUCGGUUUCUGCAGGUGUAAGCUUGGGAGUCCUGGAAGUCUUCCACAUCCCAGUGGGGGCAAAUGUUUACCUCAUUAAUUCAUGGGAUUACUCAGUAGUUCCAGCCAACUUAAUUUGACUGUAUAAUAGUUAAAAAUAUGUGUGUGUAUGUGUGUGUGUGUGUGUGCAUAUUUACUUAUAGCCCAGGAGUGUGCUACAGCUUAGAAAUUUAAAGGUAAAACCUGUCAUUGAAUAAUUAGAAAAUGUUGUGUUUAUUUGAAACAUUUAGAAAAAAAAAUUCUAUGUAUGUCAUUUUACUGUAACAUAUACACUUGGUAAUGAUAUUUCUCACUUUUCUCUCUGUGCUUGGAUAUAUGUGAGGGACUGAGGUCCAUAACAGUUGGUGAAUUAGCCCACUCUAAUUCCUUUCCCAGCCUUGGGGCUUAUUUAGUUGAAUGUUGUCAGAAACCUUAGCCUUCAGAGACUUUUUUCUUUUCAAAGGACACUCAAUUUUUGGUUGUAAAAACAAAAAAGUAAAUAUAAAUAUAUUUCUUCACUUUAUUCAUCUCUGAACAAAUCUUGCUUUUACAUCUUAGUAGUGCCUAAUGAAGAUAACAACCAUCAACUAAAUUAGUAAGAUUUAAGAAUAUAAAAAUAUAGUUACAGCGCCAAUUUGCUGAAAAUUAAUGGUCAUUAAUCAAGACCUAUGAUGCAAUAGCUAAUAAUUGAUUUCCUCCUAUGUUCUAGCACAAUGUAAAAUGCUUUACAAAUACUAAUUUAUUUAAUUAUUAGAACACCCUACAACAUUGGUACUCUUAUUGUCUGCAUUUUACAGAUGAGAAACUCCAGGCAGAGAGAGGUUAGCCAGCUUGCCUAAGGUCACACACAGAUAAUACAUGAUGAAGCCGGCAUUUAAAUCCAGACAGUCUGACCUUAGAACCUGAAUUAUAAAACACUAUGUUAUUAUGGUCUAAUGACAAAUUUUUAAAAAACACAGAAGAAUCUAUGCAUGUAAAUGAAUCCAGUCCAUCUUAAAGUAGCCACCUAUGUAUGCUCUAUACUUAUUUCAAAUUUUGCUGUGGCUUAACACUUCCAGAACUCUCUCUUUUCUUUCAUUUCUAAAAAAAUUCUUGUGGAAACUAUGCCUUGUUGGUCUAAAUAUCACCAGUAAAAGCUUCACUCUUUGAAGUUGAAUUUGAUUUUGGAAAUAGUUGAAAGUGAUUCAAAACUCAGGUUGGUGAAGAGAGGAGGAAUCAAGUUUGGUAAGAUCACUAUAAGUUAAACUGUCUCUAAAUAUAAUUUUCAAGCAGGGAUUCUAGAAUUCCAAAAAUAUUUUGUGUAAUGGUAGCAUCAUUAAAAUAAAUGGAAAGCCUGCAAAGGUCAUUCUGAAGAGCGUUAGAAAGACAGAGAACAGUAGCAUAGAAGUUUCUGCUACAGUGAUUCAUCCUCUAAACAUAUGAAACCAUCCUAUUAGGUCACAAUUCAAUAGAUGCUAUUUGACUACCUGACCUGUUAGAAGCCCCUUUCAAUUCUUCUGUAUCCAAAUUUAUAUAGGGGACAUUAUCGGUCAAGACCCUGGUGAGAGAGUGACACAAAAUGGGUAAUUGAGGAGAGUUAAAUAAAGAAACAGUUUACAGGGUUAUAAGCAGGAUUUGUGGAAACCAAUAACAGAAAGUGCAAAUCCCUGGAUAGGCAGCAUGGAGGCACCAUCAUGCCCCUCAGCCUGAAGGGGCGCAAGGAGAGGAGCAGGGGCAAGAACCAGGGAGGGCUGCUGCUGUGAACAGGGCUGCAUGCAAGGGCCUGCAUUGGGGGAGGCAGCCAGCCCAUGUCAACCAAACGUAGGGGGGAGUCAGCUCAGAGCAAAUACCCCAUCUCACUCUCCUCCUGCCCUCUGAACUCCUGCUACUGCCCCACAGACCAAACCCAACCAGAACACACAGCAAAGAGCCAGCCUGUUGUCACAUGCCACAGAGAUUACCUUUUGGGAGCACACAGUGGGGUCAAGCCUGCCUUCUCUCUGGUUCUCACCUUUCCUAGAGGAGAGGAACUGACGCAUGGUAAAGACAUUUCAUAUACAAAUUUCAGUUACCCAACUGGCCUAGGAAAGGGAGGAGAGGAAGAAUCUGACAUUUAUUGACAGUUUUUACAUUUAGUGAGUACUUACUAUGUACCCAAUGUGCCAGGUGUUUUACUUAUGUUAAAAAUGAAGAUGCAUUAUGUGAAGAGAAUUUCACUUUACUUCUGUGGUUUCCCUCCCCUCACAAUUACAUUCUAAUUAUGAGAAAACAUCAGAUAAACCUUAUCUCUAUUGAGGGGCAUUCAAUAAAAUAUCUGAGCAGUAUUCCUCAAAACUGUUAAGGUCUUCAAAAAUAAAGAAUUCCGAGAAACUAUCACAACCAAUGGGAGCCUCAGGAGACAUGACCAACAAAUAUAAUAUGGUAUCCCUGAUGGGAUCCUGGAAAAGAAAACAGACAUUCGGUAAAAACUAUGGAAAUCUGGGCCGGGCGUGGUGGCUUACACCUGUAAUCCCAGCACUUUGGGGGGCCGAGGCAGGUGGAUCACCUGAGGUUUGGGAGUUCGAGGCCAGCCUGACCAACAUGGAGAAACCCCGUCUCUACUAAAAAUACAAAAUUAGCCUGGCGUGGUGGUGCAUGCCUGUAAUCCCAGCUACUCGGGAGGCUGGAGCAGAAGAAUCACUUGAACCGGGGAGGUGGGGGUUGUGGUGAGCCGAGAUCACACCAUUGCACUCUAGCCUGGGCAACAAGAGCGAACUCCAUCUCAAAAAGAAAAACAAAAAAACAAAACAAAACAAAAACUAUGGAAAUCUGAGUAAAGUGUGGGCUUUAGUUAAUAACAAUGUAUCAGUAUUGGUUGAUUAAUUGUGACAACUGUAUGUACUAAUGUAAGAUGUUAAUAAUGGUGUGGGGUGUAUGGAAACUCUCUUAUCUUUGCAAUAUUUCUGUAAAUCUAG